rnacentral:rRNA from 1 species
UACGGAGGGAGCAAGCGUUACUCGGAAUUAUUGGGCGUAAAGGGCGCGUAGGCGAUCUGAUAAGUUCUGUGUGAAAUCCCAGGGCCUAACCCUGGAACUGCACGGAAGACUGUUGGAUUUGAGUUCCGGAGAGGAAGGCAGAAUUCCCGGUGUAGCGGUGAAAUGCGUAGAUAUCGGGAGGAAUACCAGUGGCGAAGGCGGCCUUCUGGACGGAUACUGACGCUGAGGCGCGAAAGCCAGGGGAGCAAAC